rnacentral:ncRNA from 1 species
GGGGCUUUAUUGCCCUCGUAUUUCGCGAAAGGGAAUCAGGAUAAUAUUCCUGAGCCAGGACGCGGAUACUGCACGGUAACGUGAAUGAAAUCCUCGACGCAGGCGGGAGACCCGCGAAGCGUUGUCUUUGCUUUUUACCAACCUCUUUAGUAGCUUACCCUGCAACCAGGUUAUCUGGAGAAAGGGGUUACUGGUUGAUAAAGCUUCCUGGCUUGCAGGGAAUCUGGUGCGCUUCUGACGGACCUUGAAAAGAGGGGGGAAAG